GUAAUCCUAAAUUCCUAUAAAAGAAAAUAAAUGCAAUUAAGAAUCUAUGUAACUUUUCAUACAUUUGUUGUUUAUAACUAGGUUGCUUUGGUACUUAGUUUUCAGUUGUGGACUAAGUAAGGAAAUGCAAGCUUAGGAAAAUAUUCUUCAUACUAAUUGGAUGAAAGAGAUUUAUGGAGAGUCAUAUGCAAUUGGCUAUGCUUGGGCCACUACUCAGUAAUAUAACUCCUUGAAAUUUCAUACUUAUUCAGAUGUUUUCAUAGUAUCUAAGUUGUGUUCACUUUUUUGUAUGUAUCUGUAAGGUAUGAAGAAGACUUAUUUGGGGGUAAAAAGGAAAAGGGAUAAAAAUAAAACAGUUCCUUCAAUAAUCUGAAGAUUCUGACGAUGAAGAUGAUAUGGACUUUGGUAUGAAGAAGACUUAUUUGGGGGUAAAAAGGAAAAGGGAUAAAAAUGACACAGUUUCUUCAAUAAUCUGAAGAUUCUGACGAUGAAGAUGAUAUGGACUUUGAAGAAAAGAACUUCUACCCAUGAAAAGAAACCUGAAAAAUGCAAUCAAAGAUAGAGUAGAUGAAGAAAGCUCAUAUAGGGCCAAAGUCAUGGACUAUGCAGGGUGAGGUAACAGCUGCAAAGAAACCAAAGAACUAACAUUGGAAGUUGAUCUUGACUUUGAGCACAAUGUGAGACUUGCUCCUGUAAUCAUUGAGGUUAAAACUUCAAUUGAGGAUAUGAUCAAGAAAAUGAUUCUAGAGGUAAAUUAAGAUGCUGAAUCGACAUGAUUGGGUUCUGCUAUAAUCUCACAAUGUUAUUUUGAUAGAAGUUGGAUUUAUAUUCUGUAAAAUUGUAUUAUUGGUAAAAGUCAUUGAAAUUGAACUGGGUAGGGAACAAGAAUUAUAGCCACAAGGUUUUA